UGGAAAUGGCAACUUCACAGGGCGAGGCAAAACUCGCGAAUACAUCAAAUAUACCAACCUGAAUGCGCACAGACGCAAUUUUCUCUGCCACACGAAGAUCCAUCGAAUUCGCAUAACCUACAGCAAAUUUCUACUUGUUAUCGUUCAAAUUAUCCGCGCGAAGAUAAGUCGAGUGCUCGCUCGGUGUUCGUCCGACUUCAAAGAAUCUGGCGAUGUACCUAACACAUUGAACGUGCAAACGGACUAUUCGAAUGCAAACGCCAUUCAGUUUUUAUUACCUGCUACCAAGAAGAGAGUGAAAAAAUGUUCAGAAAGUAAAUAGCGUAGGCUAUUUAUAGGGAACGAAGGAUGAAUACGAUUCCAAGCUCUGAAUGAAGUCAUUCGGCCGUGUGAAACGAUGAUGAUGCCCAGUGAGACGAGACCGAACGAUUUUAGAUACUAACUCCUUUCAGCAAUGUGCCUUUCAAUAUCGUCUCGAUCAUUCUCUCGACUUUAAGUCAUUCCUCUCAAACGUCCGAGUCAUUAGAGUC
rnacentral:misc_RNA from 1 species